GCACCCCGUGAACAAUGUUGUUAACAAGUUGUUGAACCAUCAACAUUGUUGCAACUUGUUGACAAUCAUGUUAACAACUUGCAACAGUACUGAUGGUUGAACAACUUGUUAACAAUAUUGUUCACGGGGUGC
rnacentral:miRNA from 1 species